AUUGAACGCUGGCGGCAGGCCUAACACAUGCAAGUCGAACGAGUGGCGGACGGGUGAGUAAUGUCUGGGAAACUGCCCGAUGGAGGGGGAUAACUACUGGAAACGGUAGCUAAUACCGCAUACCAUCGGAUGUGCCCAGAUGGGAUUAGCUUGUAGGUGAGGUACCGGCUCACCUAGGCGACGGUCCCUAGCUUGUCUGAGAGGAUGACAAGACACACUGGAACGGAGACACGGUCAAGACUCCGACGGGAUGGAGAAGUGGGGAAUAUUGCACAAGGGGCGAACGCCUGAUGCAGCGAGGGCGCGUGUAUGAAGAAGGCCUUCGGGUUGUAAAGUACGUGCAGCGGGGAGGCGUUACCCUCAGAAGAAGCACCGGCUAACUCCGUUCCAGCAGCCGCGGUAAUUC
rnacentral:rRNA from 1 species